rnacentral:rRNA from 1 species
AGCGAACAUUGGCGGUAGGCUUAACACAUGCAAGUCGAGCGAGGCGUAAUAGUCGAGCGGCGAACGGGUGAGUAAUACAUGGGAAUCUACCUCGAAGUGGGGGAUAACAGCCAGAAAUGGCGGCUAAUCCGGCAUAAUCCGGGAACGGGAAAGCGCGCUGCGCUUUGAGAUGAGCCCAUGGCUGAUUAGCAAGUUGGUGGGGUAAAGGCCUACCAAGGCGACGAUCAGUAGCUGGUCUGAGAGGAUGAUCAGCCACACUGGAACUGAGACACGGUCCAGACUCCUACGGGAGGCAGCAGUGGGGAAUCUUGCGCAAUGGGGGCAACCCUGACGCAGCCAUACCGCGUGUGCGAUGAAGGUCUUCGGAUUGUAAAGCACUUUCAGUAGGGACGACGAUGACGGUACCUACAGAAGAAGUCACGGCUAACUUCGUGCCAGCCGCCGCCGUAA